rnacentral:rRNA from 1 species
UACGGGGGGGGCAAGCGUUGUUCGGAAUUACUGGGCGUAAAGGGCUCGUAGGCGGCCAACUAAGUCGGACGUGAAAUCCCUCGGCUUAACCGGGGAACUGCGUCCGAUACUGGAUGGCUUGAGUUCGGGAGAGGGAUGCGGAAUUCCAGGUGUAGCGGUGAAAUGCGUAGAUAUCUGGAGGAACACCGGUGGCGAAGGCGGCAUCCUGGACCGACACUGACGCUGAGGCACGAAAGCGUGGGGAGCAAACAGG